GUGGCUCAGUGGUAGAGCACUUGGUUUGCAUGCAUGAGGCCCUGGGUUCGAUUCCCCAGC
rnacentral:tRNA from 1 species